rnacentral:lncRNA from 1 species
UACAACUUUACAGCAAUUACUUGUUACGAGAUUUUACAAAUAGUUAAGUGCAUCUUAUAACUUGUUACUAAGCUAUUGCAUUGUUUAGGAACGGUUGUUGUGAGAACUUUUAUUACCCAUAUUUCAGACCACAUGGUCUAUUAUCCGUUUGUUUUUUGUCAUCACUGCGGGUAGGGCUGUCAACGGGCCGGGUCCGGGCCGGAAUUCAUUAUUCCGGACCC